rnacentral:rRNA from 1 species
UACGAAGGGGACUAGCGUUGUUCGGAAUCACUGGGCGUAAAGCGCACGUAGGCGGAUUGCUAAGUCAGGGGUGAAAUCCUGGAGCUCAACUCCAGAACUGCCUUUGAUACUGGUGAUCUUGAGUCCGGGAGAGGUGAGUGGAACUGCGAGUGUAGAGGUGAAAUUCGUAGAUAUUCGCAAGAACACCAGUGGCGAAGGCGGCUCACUGGCCCGGUACUGACGCUGAGGUGCGAAAGCGUGGGGAGCAAACAGG